ensembl:lincRNA
GAAAAUGCUGAUGCCACAGACCAACUUUAGAUACACAUAAGUGUGACCCCAAAGGUCGGUUGUUUCCUAGAUUCAUUUGACAUUUUGAGGUGAGUUAUUAGAUUUUUCCCCGUUGGUUAUCAACCCAGAGGUUGUAUAUCAAUCCCAGGGUGAUUUGGGAGUCCUUAAGGAAUCUUAUGAUUUUCACACUCAGUGAGGAGAAUGUUGGCCCUUCUGACCAGGAAUCCAAAACACUAGGAUGUGAAUGAUUUGUCCCAACCAAUGAGGAACUGUGUCACUGAAUGUCUGUGAUGUUCCCUGAGGAAUCCCAGAGCAGAGGCAAUGAAGGACUCUGGUCUACCUGGUUAUCCUUUAUACCCACAAGGAAAACCACCUACUUAUUUCCUUUAAAUGGCCCAUAGCAGCCACCCACUACUCCAAGGAGAUAAUUUUUUUCACUGUAUGUAUGUUCCUGGCUUCUUCCCUACCCCCAGCUAAAUAUUCUUGGGUUCCAGACAGGUUUCCAACAUUAUCCCACAUCCUGCCUCAACAAUGGCUCCUUUGUCUUUUUUACAGUAACUUGGAAGAAAGAAGCAGAGAGAGAGAGAGAGAGAGAGAGAGAGAGAGAGAGAGAAAUGAUAGAAAGAUACAGUUUGGGACACAAGAUAAUUGUUCAAGAAGUGAGGAAUGAGCCUUCAGUGGACACAUUGAUGGAACGAGCCUUAAAAUGAAGGACACUACCCAGUGGCUGAGCUAGGCACAGUCCAAGGGCUGUGUAGUGUGAGCCCUUUUCCUGCAUGGUUUUAUAUGGAUUUGAACAGCCCCUUCAGCAUCUGUAGGAAGUGGUAUCUUGUCUGGUUAGGAUUAGAGUAGGGAGUAAAAUAUUCCUGAUUCCAUAAAUCAAGGAGCUUUUAGUUGGAUGGGAAAUUUGAAGUUUUCCUGAGCUGAACAUCAUGGGGAAGUCAGUCUGGGAUGAUGCGGGUCUGUAGCUAGGUCCCUAAGCUCUACAAAUCACUCCAUAGUGUUUUAAGCAUGGGACAUGUUGCUGAGUAGAUCUGGAAUCUCUCUCUCUUGGACAAACCUUGUUUCCUACUUUAUUAUGGCCCCAGAAUGAAAGGCAAUGGGUGCUAUAUCAGCAAGCAUGUUUGUGUUUUUUUCCAGAAAUGAGUUGGAAUGCUUUGUUGAAUCAUUUAUGAAAAAAGCACUAGCUCAGUAAGAGGAAAUCACAAAUAUGAUCUGUAAGCCUGGGACCAAUAAAGACCCUGAAAUGGUUAACUUUUGUUGUCAGCUUGACUGUAAUGAGGAGCACCUAGCAAACUGACUUAGCACACUGCCGGCUGAGUCUGUGUUUCCCUAGAAGACUGGUAUGUGGGUCAGCAACCUGCAUGAGACAGAUCUGGCCUCAAAGUGGGUGGCACUGUCCUGUAUGCAGGGGCUGGACUGAAGAAGACACCAAGAUGGGGACCCUUGCUCUCAACAGCCCAAGUUCUUUUCCACUGAGUGAAGGAUUUCUGAUCCUGUCACCCUGGACAUCAGGCUCCAGUUUCCUUGGCCUUUGAAUUUGGACUCACACGCAUCUCUCCAGGGCCCUCGCAGGACUUCAGCUUGAGACAGAGUUGCACUGAGCUCUCCCUCAUUCGAUACACUACCAGCUUCUUCGACUGAGCACCACUCGUCUUCUCCAACCUCCAGAGCAGACAGGCAAUGCAGAGUUGUUCAGCCUCUUUGUGAGCCAAUCUGAUGAAAACCCUCUUCUGUUUGUAAAUAUUCUCCUUUUGGAAAACACUGACCAAAAGAGUACGUCAUUCCCAUCUGCAACCCAGAUAAGGC